rnacentral:rRNA from 1 species
ACAAGCAGUCACAUAUUUGCUGGAAAGUAAGGCAUCAGAUUCCAUCUGAUCUUGGAAGUUAAGCAGGAUCAGCCUUGGUUAGUAUUUGGUUGGGAUACUUCCAACAAAUGCCUAGUGCUGUGUGCA